GGCCUGAUGGUGAAACGGUAUCCCAUUCUUCCAUCAUACAAAGUAUUCAUCUCAGUUGUCGGGAAGUUCCUUGUUCGACUCAAGGUCAGGCCA